UUUUUUUUUUUUUUUUUUUUUUCAUUAAAACUAAUUUUAUUAACAUAUUUACAUUUGUUAAUAGAUACAUCAAAUACCGGUACCUUUUCCCGGCCUCGUUAAUAUUAGUAUAGAACAUCUAUUAUGGUUAAUUAUGUUAGUACACAAAUUUUCAAUAAUCCGGAUAUAAUUCAUGUCUUCGCCUGAAUGAUUUUCUAUACUAGUUUCUUUGUUUACAAAGAAGGUAGAUAACACGUGUAGUGCUUAAAUGGAAUAUACAUUAAUCUGUUAAUUAGUGCUUUAU
rnacentral:lncRNA from 1 species